rnacentral:rRNA from 1 species
CCCUUAGAUGUUCUGGGCCGCACGCGUGCUACACUGAGUGGAUCAGCGGGUCAGGUUGCACGAAAGUGUUUCCUAAUCUUGAAAUCCGCUCGUGAUGGGGAUUGACGGUUGCAAUUUUCCGUCAUGAACGAGGAAUACCUUGUAAGCGCGGGUCAUCAUCCCGCGCUGAAUACGUCCCUGCCCUUUGUACACACCGCCCGUCGCUCCUACCGAUUGAGUGGUCCGGUGAGGCUUUGGGAUCUGAGCAAAGAGAGCGUUUCGCUCGUUUUGCCCGGAAAACUCAGUCGAACCUUAUCAUUUAGAGGAAGGAGAAGUCGUAACA